UUCCGGAUUUUCUAGAACCAGUAAAGAGGAAGCUUUAUAAAAAUGUGAAUUUUUGAAAAAAUUGAAAAACGAAUAUUGUCAAAAACUAAAUAAGCCAGAUCGUCGUUUUCCGAAAGGAUACACUACCAAUGCAGACGCAAAUAGGCCAACAGAAAUUCCGAUAGCAAUUUGAACCAUAACCAAACCGAAUUUUAAAGAAUUAACAUCCAAAGUAGAAGAACUUGAGGUGUUGUAAGUAUUGUUCGUUAAAGAAGUAGCAACUUCAAUGCCAGAAGAAAUACCACCUUGAGCAGCCAAACCAGAGGGGACUUGAACAAAUAUAGCAGGCAAUACAGCAGCGAACGCAACUCCUCGACCUAAACGUGAAUAUAUAUUACCCAAACAACCAAUCGCAAAAGAACCAAUUGCAUUCGCAAUCGGAUUUGAUCCGAAAUGCUUGGCGGUGAAAUAAUUAACGACAUAGCCUGCACAAGAUAUGAAAAUCGAAACAGGCCAUUGAGAGGGCCUUGCCUGAUUUACAAUUAAAAGACACAAAGUAAACAAGGGAACAAACAAAAUUUUCCAUUUAUCAUCCAUUUGAGUAGAUACCGGACAUGAAGUUGAGUCAGUGGCAUUAUGAUCCAUCCAACCAUAAAGAGCUGCCCCAAUUGAUAUACCGAAACUCAAAAAUAAAGAAUAAAUGAUGGCAUAAAACAUUCGAACUCCUCCUGCCACAAUAUUUUUACUUUGUAGCUCCAGCGAACCACAAAGUACGAUAUAACCUGGAAGAAUUAACACAAUCGCGCCCUCCGCAAGCGCAGAAAAACAGAAUCGACGACCACCAGAAUACCGAAUGCUACCAAAAGCUCUACUUAGAAAAGAUGUAAUAAUUGAGCCAGUCACCUCAAAAAGACUAUUAUACAUGGUUGAACGAGGAGCGAUAUAGUGCUGAAGAAUCCCUACGAGGCAACCUAAUAUAAAUGCAAUAGGCAAAUCAAUCCAUCCGCCUUGAAAAGACAUCGGCAGAAUAGUGGCACUAGCAAAACCAUAAAAAACAACAAGUAUCCAAGUUCUAAAAUAAGGAGGAGAUUUAAAAAUUUCAUCUAAACCUCUAAUUGCCUCCUCAACACCCAUACGGUCGUGCAAAACAGCUUUAUAUAUGUCAUGGACCAACUUCAAACGCCCAAGAUCAAUUGUUUGAUUUACACGAACAAUGUGCAUAUCAGAAGUAUGAGUGUUAACAUCACCAAAUGACACUAUCAUACAUCCAGGAAUGUACAAAAAUUGUCCCUCUAUUUCGAGAACCUUUGCUGCAGAAGCCAUAUGUUCUUCUAAACGAUGACUAGGAGCACCAUAUACCAUUAAAGCACGGCAUAGUUUUAAAAUAUAUUUUUGGCGUUGUAAAAUGUCAGCCAAAUGAAUAGUGAUUUUAUAUUCUUCGUUCAAACCAGAAUUCUUCCUACUGUGAUGGUGAAAAUUAAAUUUUCUACCACGAGAAUGACCUGUUUUAGAGAAUUGAGGAAUUUCCUCCGUAGACUGCAAGCCAGAAGCAGGCGCCAUAAAAGUCUGAUUUGAUGCGUGCAAAAGGUCUGUAAGUGAAUUACUAGAAGCAGUCCUUUUAGCGUGUUUUUGCCAUUUUGUAGGAUCAGUGUGCUUCAAAGAAAUCCUACUGGAUGUAACUGUAUUAGAAUUUGUAUACAACUUCAGCAAAUUUGACAAUACGCCGCCACGAUAAGAAGCCUUAGGAUUAGCAAAUGGAUCAGAUUCAUCUAUAUUGUCAUCUUGUUCGUUAUCUUUAACAUCUUCUCCUUCAUCAUUAGCGGCCUUCAAAGCGUUUAGCCUCAUAUGCUCUAAUCGAGCUGCCGUGUGAGCAGCAACAAGCUUGUACGCUUCUGUUGUAGUAGAGGGUAGUUCAUUAGUUGAUUCGACAUUAGACAUUUUUUCCGGAUCGCUCUGUAAAUUUUUAGCAGCGAUCAUAGGUGCUGAGUAGCUUCUAUCCAGAGUAGGCCUACGCAUUGGUAAGCUAUUGACGGAAUUUGAACUACUUUGGGUUUUAUAGCUAGCUGCAUAGCUUUCAACGUCUGUAUUCCUAGCAUCCAAUAGGCCUACUUUUGAUGCGGUAGGACUUGGAACAGCCGGCAUGUUUACUAAAUAUUGAUCCAUGGAAGUUAUAGAGCCUCUUUUGCGAAAAGCAGCAGGAGAAGGCGCCCUAUGAACAGGAAGAACCUGUGGUCCAUCAUCAUCCUCUGUAUCUUCAUCAUCUUCUUCUAUUAAAAAUGUAGGGGUCUGAAACGAAGUGGAACUCGGAAAAGAUGUUUGUAAGGGAGAGAGGUAAGGUCGUCUAUCGGUAUUGAAACG